AAUCGACCCAUUAACACUGUGGAUGUUAACGUAAAGCCAACACAAGGUAGAAGAAGGUUAAAUGAUACAAACCCACAGCCUCCGGUGCCUUACCCAAUCUGAACUCCUCUAUUGUGGACCUCUCUGAUCCAUCUCACACCACAACACUGGUCCAGGACCAGCUGGAAAUCUAGUCGUCGACCCAGUGCUUCAGACGGAUCGAUCAGGAUAUCAUCCUCUCCAAGAGGGCUGUCCAGUGAAAGUGCAGGGGACCAACUGCGCUUGCAGUAUGGCCUCCUCCGUGCCCUCCGACCCCAACACCUGCAGACAGAGAGUAUCAGUUGAUUAUCAUUGUGUAAAUGCAACGUUAGUCGUACAUCAGUGUUCAGGGUGUCUAUGAGCACCUCCAGCUGUUCUUCCAAAGGGAUGCGGAAGGCCAAAGACUGAAGCCAGAGGUGAGCAGUGCCCAGGAGAAGAGGCUCAACAGGAUCCCAGAACGGGUCUUUAUCUCUGGGCAAUGCAACAGCUGAAAGACCUUGUGCUCCCUGACAGCAGGACACAGAGCAGAGACACCCUUCUGAAGGUCUGUCAGAAAUAUUACUGCUGCAAAAUGAUUCUGUGGGACUAGACAAGAGUCCCAAUCAACCAGAAUGGAGCUGCUCCAAUGAAAAUGGGUUUUAACUUUCAAGAUUGAAGAUUGAUGCAAAAUCCAAAUGCAAACAAGAUCAAAAUGUAUACAAAAUUUGAGCUGUGACUGUAUCUUU
rnacentral:lncRNA from 1 species